rnacentral:rRNA from 1 species
AUGAUGUGGCGGUGGACACGACAGUGUACCGUUGACGAACCCUUCCAAGUAAUGGCUGCGAAGGAGAGGAAGCACCUGAGCACGCCAAUAUAG